UGAGUAACGCGUGGGUAAUCAACCCAUAAAACCGGGAUAACCCCGGGAAACCGGGGCUAAUACCGGAUACGCUCCAUGGAACGCAUGUUUUAUGGAGGAAAGGCGGCAUAGCGAAAGCAGCUGUCGAUUAUGGAUGAGCCCGCGUCCCAUUAGUUAGUUGGUGAGGUAACGGCUCACCAAGGCGACGAUGGGUAGCCGGCCUGAGAGGGUGACCGGCCACACUGGGACUGAGAUACGGCCCAGACUCCUACGGGAGGCAGCAGUGGGGGAUAUUGCGCAAUGGGCGGAAGCCUGACGCAGCGACGCCGCGUGAGCGAAGAAGGCCUUCGGGUUGUAAAGCUCUGUCAUAAGGGACGAGAGGCACGGUGAGUAAUAUGCACUGUGCAGGACGGUACCUUAGGAGGAAGCCCCGGCUAACUACGUGCCAGCAGCCGCGGUAACACGUAGGGGGCGAGCGUUGUCCGGAAUUACUGGGCGUAAAGGGCGCGUAGGCGGCUUAAUAAGUCAGGUGUGAA
rnacentral:rRNA from 1 species